rnacentral:lncRNA from 1 species
ACAGUGAGCCCACGCAGAUCCUAUUUUUGUGUCUAUUAGAGAACAGAUGUCAUGUGUAUGCAUCAGCAGAUUUAUCCAGACGCCCGUCACUCCAAGCGGGAGGACUGGUGACCUGAGGCCUGACAUCUGCCUGCUGCAGCAGAAUUGAAAGACACCAGCUUACUUUCAGGAUGUGGAGACCACCUAAGCAGACCUGAAUUUAUGAAGACAGGUGUCUGAGGCUGAACAGGUGAAAAUCACUUGCUAAAAAUAGAGGUUAGUUCAGGGUAGAAGAGACAUGACCUCUUUUGCACCUUGGUUCACCAACAGUAUCUACGGAAAACACCUGUGACAGAUUCCUUCAGCAAAAUAUCCACAGGAACAAGGUGGUAAAAUGGUAGUUAUGCCGCUUUUCUACUGUUUGUGAUACUCAGCAAAGAAGGCAGUACUCUGCCUGAGAGACUGAGCCACGCGAUUGCAGUAACUUGGGACAAACGAGGCAAAACUCAAAAGCAGAAAGUAAAGUAACCAAGAGACUGGGCAGCCCACGUCAGGGCUGCCAACUCCAGCAAUGAACCAAAUUUAGAAGCUGUUAUAUGAAGAAUCUACAGGACAUUAAAUUUAAAUGGUUUCCCUGCAUAAAUACCUCCUAAACUAGGUAUGAUGGCGAGAUGAGCACUAUAGCUCCCAGGAGGGUCGGUCAGGGAGCAUCUGGUGAGGCGCUCAGCUGGCACGUGCAGGAUCCGGCCCGUCUUUGAGGCUUCGUGUCCGUACAAAAGCACAGAGGAAAACCCAAAGCCCAUCACAAAAACGCUGCCGAUAGCCAAAUAAACUCCCUUAUUACACAAUAUCAGUGCGAACUAAGAAGUACCUUCCCGGCAGAGGGGCUCAGCAGCAGUUGCAGCUGGGGAGCUGGUGAGUCUGGCUCGGCACCGGAGAGCUUGUGUGCAAGAGAUGAUUCCUCUGUAAUAUAUUCGGUGCUAGUUAUUGGCAAGAAGCAAAAGAUGUGAAGUGGGAGUUUAAAGAAGAAAAACAUCAUGAAGAUACCAGGUCUUUCCUGACUUUUCCACAUCAUG